UUCAUCUCUGCCAACAGGUAUAAUGGAAUGAAAGAUCCUGAGCCCAAAGCAAAGUAAAUCACCGUCUCUUAAAAAAGAUGGACUACUUCCUCAUGAGGUGGUAUUAUGGACUGGCUGCUCUCUACGUGCAGCUGGAGGAGCACUCAGAGAAACAACCGAAUGGCCAGUGGAUGCAAUGAUAUUCAUCCUUGUCAGAGGGCAGUCUGUUCCCAGGAGUACCAAGCAAAAUAUUGCUGAAUGAAGAAGUGAGACAGAACUGUAAAAAYCCACCUCAGCCUGGAUAAAAGCACAGACUGGAAAAUUAUGCAUUAAAUUGUAAAAGCAUCUAGGAGAAUGAUGUGAUAAAAAUCCUCAACAGAGAUCUGCAAAGAGACUACAAUCAACUGAGCGGUAUAUUCUAGGUAAUUUUAAAAAAGGUAAACAGAAUCUGGUCUUGAUGAAUGACUUGUGUGCAAGAUCAAAAGCUGCUUUGUUAGGACCUCCGGCAACAUCAUCACUUCAUCUUUCAACAUCUCUUUGGUUGGCAUCAUAUCAACAAUAUCAGCCCUGCAGGUUGUGUAACAACAUAAUGAUGCAACCCUUAGGGAUGAAGGUGGAGGUACUGGUAGGAUGACAAAGUCCCACCACCCACAUACAGAUGCAUUUAAAAUUAAUCAUCUCAUUCUGUUGGUGAAAUAAAAGAAUAAGGAUGAGCCAUUUAGCCUAAUCCUCUCCUGUUGAAGGACAAUUCCUUAGAACAAGAUACUAAUCUCCAGAAGAAGCAAAGAAGUGAUUUCAGCAAAAUGCCAGGCUGAAGACAGCAGAUGCUUCUUCAGUACUUUGUCAUAGUAGAGCAAGAAAGUUGCACUAAAUUUAAUUGCUGCAACUUCAACAAGGGCAAGAAUGAAGGUCCAGGAAACUACAGGUCUGUCAGCCUGAGGGUGUUUGUGGAGCAAAUACUCCUGGAAGCCAUUUCCAAGCUCCUGAGGGACACAAGUGACUGAGAGCAGCCAGUGUGGCUUUACCAAGGGCAAACCUUUGAUGAGAAGACUAGCUCAACAAAUGAGGGGAGAGCAAUGGAUGUUGUUUACUUCAAUUUUAGCAAGGCCUUGAACAAGAUCUCCCACAGUACCCUUAAAGACAAAUUGGUGAAAUACAGAGUGGAUAAAUGGGCCAUAAGGUAAUAAGGUAAGGAUAAUUGGCUGGGCUGGUGGGCACAAAGGGUGGUGAUCAGCCAUGCAAAGUC
ensembl:lncRNA